rfam:Salmo salar isolate Sally breed double haploid chromosome ssa04, whole genome shotgun sequence.
UGCAUUCACUACUGUAAUUCGCUCUGGAUAAGAGCAUCUGCUAAAUGACUAAAA